rnacentral:rRNA from 1 species
GACGAACGCUGGCGGCGUGCUUAACACAUGCAAGUCGAACGGAAAGGCCCUGCUUUUGUGGGGUGCUCGAGUGGCGAACGGGUGAGUAACACGUGAGUAACCUGCCCUUGACUUUGGGAUAACUUCAGGCAACUGGGGCUAAUACCGGAUAGGAGCUCCUGAUGCAUGGUGGGGGUUGGAAAGUUUCGGCGGUUGGGGAUGGACUCGCGGCUUAUCAGCUUGUUGGUGGGGUAGUGGCUUACCAAGGCUUUGACGGGUAGCCGGCCUGAGAGGGUGACCGGCCACAUUGGAACUGAGCUACGACCCAGACUCAUACGGGAGGGAGCGGUGGGGAAUAUUGCAUAAUGGGAUGAGGCCAAGUGUAGCGAAGCCGUGUGGGGGGUGAGAGGCAGCGGUUAGGAAACCACUAUCGUUUCUGACGAAGCGAGAGUGACGGUACUGGGAAAAGAAGCACCGGCUAACUACGUG